rnacentral:rRNA from 1 species
GAUGAACGCUGGCGGCGUGCCUAAUACAUGCAAGUCGAGCGAACAGAUGAGGAGCUUGCUCCUCUGACGUUAGCGGCGGACGGGUGAGUAACACGUGGAUAACCUACCUAUAAGACUGGGAUAACUUCGGGAAACCGGAGCUAAUACCGGAUAAUAUAUUGAACCGCAUGGUUCAAUAGUGAAAGACGGUUUUGCUGUCACUUAUAGAUGGAUCCGCGCCGCAUUAGCUAGUUGGUAAGGUAACGGCUUACCAAGGCAACGAUGCGUAGCCGACCUGAGAGGGGGAUCGGCCACACGGGAACGGAGACACGGACCAGACGCCUACGGGAGGCAGCAGUAGGGAAUCUUCCGCAAUGGGCGAAAGCCUGACGGAGCAACGCCGCGUGAGUGGUGAAGGUCUUCGGAUCGUAAAACUCUGUUAUUAGGGAAGAACAAAUGUGUAAGUAACUAUGCACGUCUUGACGGUACCUAAUCAGAAAGCCACGGCUAACUACGUG